CGCCAGGGAAGUAAAAGUCGUAACAAGGUCUCCGUUGGUGAACCAGCGGAGGGAUCAUUACCGAGUUAUACAACUCCCAAACCCACUGUGAACCUUACCUCAGUUGCCUCGGCGGGAACGCCCCGGCCGCCUGCCCCCGCGCCGGCGCCGGACCCAGGCGCCCGCCGCAGGGACCCCAAACUCUCUUGCAUUACGCCCAGCGGGCGGAAUUUCUUCUYUGAGUUGCACAAGCAAAAACAAAUGAAUCAAAACUUUCAACAACGGAUCUCUUGGUUCUGGCAUCGAUGAAGAACGCAGCGAAAUGCGAUAAGUAAUGUGAAUUGCAGAAUUCAGUGAAUCAUCGAAUCUUUGAACGCACAUUGCGCCCGCCAGCAUUCUGGCGGGCAUGCCUGUUCGAGCGUCAUUUCAACCCUCGAGCCCCCCCCGGGGGCCUCGGUGUUGGGGGACGGCACACCAGCCGCCCCCGAAAUGCAGUGGCGACCCCGCCGCAGCCUCCCCUGCGUAGUAGCACACACCUCGCACCGGAGCGCGGAGGCGGUCACGCCGUAAAACGCCCAACUUUCUUAGAGUUGACCUCGGAUCAGGUAGGAAUACCCGCUGAACUUAAGCAUAUCAAUAAGCG
rnacentral:rRNA from 1 species